UGGGGGUGUAGCUCAGUGGCAGAGCGCAUGCCUCCAGAGUAUGAAGCCCUGGGUUCAAACCCCAGCACCACAU
rnacentral:tRNA from 1 species